UUCCUCUCUUUUCUCAAAAAGUAUUAACUACUUAUUCAUCAGGGGCUCAAAUUGGUAUAAGUGGGAUUCUAUUCUACCCUUAUCCUGUCUUCCCUAUGCUCGUCUCUUCUAAUUAUGGAAUAUAUAUAUA